rnacentral:rRNA from 1 species
CGUGCUUAACACAUGCAAGUCGAUCGGUAACAGGUGUAGCAAUACAUGCUGACGAGAGGCGGACGGGUGAGGAAUAUUUGGGAAUCUGCCCAUCAGCGGGGGACAACCCGGGGAAACCCGGGCUAAUACCGCAUACGCUCCACGGAGGAAAGCCGGGGACCGCAAGGCCUGGCACUGAUGGAUGAGCCCAAAUCGGAUUAGCUUGUUGGCGGGGUAACGGCCCACCAAGGCGACGAUCCGUAGCUGGUCUGAGAGGACGAUCAGCCACACCGGAACUGAGACACGGUCCGGACUCCUACGGGAGGCAGCAGUGGGGAAUAUUGGACAAUGGGGGAAACCCUGAUCCAGCGACGCCGCGUGGGUGAAGAAGGCCUGCGGGUUGUAAAGCCCUUUCGGUAGGGACGAAAGCUCUUGCUCUAACAAAGCAGGAGGUUGACUUAACCUACAUAAGAAGCACCGGCUAACUCUGUGCCAGCAGCCGCGGUAAUACAGAGGGUGCGAGCGUUAAUCGGAAUUACUGGGCGUAAAGCGCACGUAGUCGGCUUGUCAAGUCGGGUGUGAAAUCCCCGGGCUCAACCUGGGAACUGCAUCCGAAACUGACUUGCUAGAGUAUGGGAGAGGGAGGCGGGAUUUCUGGUGUAGCAGUGAAAUGCGUAGAUAUCAGAAGGAACAUCGGUGGCGAAGGCGGCCUCCUGGACCAAUACUGACGAUCAGGUGCGAAAGCGUGGGGAGCAAACAGGAUUAGAUACCCUGGUAGUCCACGCCCUAAACGAUGACAACUGGAUGUCGGGAGGGUUUGCCUUCCGGUGUCGUAGCUAACGCGUUAAGUUGUCCGCCUGGGGAGUACGGCCGCAAGGUUGAAACUCAAAUGAAUUGACGG